AAGUGAACAAUUUUGAUCUAAUUGUAUGUUAUCAUGGAUCAGUAGAAAGAACUGGAAAUCUUUCAGAAUUUUAAAGCCAGUCUGGAAGAUGUCAAUGUAGUGGCCAAGGAAAUAAGACUUUUAGACAAUAUCUUUGAUCUGUUAGAUAUGAGUUUUUGUGGGUAGGGUGAAAAUUGUACAGUGUUUUUGGAUGUUAGUCUCAAGGAUAUUUGAUCAUAUGAUGAGCUUGCAUUGAAUAAAUGGGAGUUAGCUGGGAGUUCUCCAUCGUAUUUCUAUGGCUGUUUAUUAGACCAUGCGGUUGUUGGUUUGAGUGGGAGUUGGAUGUGAUUUUAAUGUCUGGUUCAGCAUUUGGACAAUCAGAGCUUUGGAAUUGGGGCUUAAAGACGUGAUUGAUCCUAUGAUAAGCCAGUAUACAUACAUGUUCAGCAGCCAGCAUGAGUUUGUAAGGUUAUGGGUUUACUUCCAUGCAUCUACAUCGUAAUAUGCUCUCUCUCUCUCUCUCUCUCUCUCUACUUUAGGAAGUGUUAUAUAGUUGUUCUAUCUUGUAAACUAGCUUAUGCGAUUUCUCUCUCUCUCUCUCUCUCUCUCUCUACUUUAGGAAGUGUUAUAUAGUUGUCCUUUCUUGUAAACUAGCUUUAAAUGUGAUGUUUAAAUUUCAUAAAUUUGUUGGAAUCUGUAUGUUGUACUUUGGAAAUAAGGAGAAGUAUUUUCCGCAAUUAGCAAGAUGUUAUCGCUGCAAUGUAGUUUUUUUAGCUAGCUAAUAAGUGUUGUAACGCCAUUUUAUUUUGAUUCGACUUGUUGGAAGCCCAGGAUUAAAAAAGUCCAGAGGCUUUCUUUUCUUUUGGGUCUUUAUUUAGCAAUGCACUCGGCUUCAAAAAUUCAAUAUUUGUCACACGAUGCCCAUUGAAGCGGUAACGUUUCAUUAGCUCCUCUACUGUGCAUGAGAAAACUCGCCCAUUAGAAGAGGACAACGAAGAAUCUCGUUGAAAAAGUCUGUAUUAUACAAGCAAGCAUAUUACGUAAUUUAUACCAUUGAAAUUCGAAUAUUAUCGUUGACAAGAGUUGGGAUAUGACUGGAAACUCGAAAAUGGCAAGGGCAUGUCAUGUGUGAGGGGAGGCGUAGCAAGGAUUGUAGAGUAAAAAGGAAGACCGUGGUCUGAUCCAUGGUUGGUAAGGCAGGGACGUUUCAACUUUCAAAAUUCAAGUGUUCAAUUUCAAUCCCCCCUCCUGGAGCACUGGAGCAAUCAGCCAAAACCAAAAAACGACGCAUCAUCAUUCAUCAGAUGUCACAAACAAAACCUAACUUAGAUUAGAUGCCCUUUCACUUUCCUUGUAGGCUGAAAACCCCUCAGAAAUGCUCAAAUUUACAACAUUAAACCCUAAUCACCACCACCACGGCACCAUUACCACCGCCACCACAUUUAGCAUGCUCAGACUAGAAGCACAACGUAAUGACUAACGUCAAUAUCAGAUCCUCUGCGACAAUGUCUCACCGUAACAGCCCCGCGCAAGCUCUUCCCUUAGUAGUAACCAUCAACUGCAUCGAGGAUUGCGAGAUCGAGCAAGGCUCUCUAGCCGGCGUCGCAAGCGUCGAGCACGUGCCGCUCAGCCGCCUAGCUGAUGGCAAGAUUGAAUCAGCUGCUGCUGUGCUUCUCCACUCUCUCGCAUACCUCCCUCGUGCCGCCCAGCGCCGCCUCCGUCCCUACCAGUUCAUCUUAUGCCUUGGUUCGGCUAACCGUGCAGUAGACUCGGCUCUUGCAGCUGACCUGGGGCUCCGGCUUAUUCAUGUGGACACGCCGCGGGCCGAAGAGAUCGCGGACACAGUGAUGGCUUUAUUCCUUGGUUUGCUGCGUCGGACGCAUUUGCUUUCCCGCCACGCACUCUCUGUUUCAGGAUGGCUUGGCUCGGUGCAGCCGCUAUGUAGAGGAAUGAGGAGAUGUAGAGGGCUGGUUUUGGGGAUCGUUGGUAGAUCUGCAUCAGCGAGGUGUUUAGCUACCAGGAGCUUGGCUUUCAGGAUGAAUGUGCUAUAUUUUGAUGUUCAAGAGGGAAAAGGAAAAGUAAGUAGAUCUUCCAUAAGAUUUCCGCCUGCAGCCCGAAGAAUGGAUACUCUUAAUGAUUUAUUAGCUGCAAGUGACCUUAUCUCGCUUCACUGUGCUUUAACAAAUGAAACAGUUCAGAUCAUCAAUGCUGAAUGUUUGCAGCAUAUAAAGCCAGGGGCGUUUCUUGUGAACACAGGCAGCAGUCAGCUACUAGAUGACUGUGCUUUGAAGCAGCUUUUGAUUGAUGGAACCUUGGCUGGAUGUGCGCUGGAUGGUGCUGAAGGACCUCAGUGGAUGGAAGCAUGGGUAAAGGAGAUGCCCAAUGUAUUGAUACUUCCACGCAGUGCAGAUUACAGUGAAGAAGUGUGGAUGGAGAUAAGGGACAAAGCCAUCUCUUUAUUGCGGUCGUUCUUCUUUGAUGGCGUUAUACCAAAGGAUGUCAUCUCUGAUGAGGAGGAGGAAAGUGAAGUAGCUGAUGGAAGCGAACAGAUUCUCAAACAAGACAGUGAAAGUGCUCAACAGGAUUCUGUUGGUGUGCAGUUGAAGGAUGAUAUUCUGUUGAGUCCAGAAAACUCCAACAGAAAAGGUAACAAUCAAUCAACUGCAUCUCCUAGCCAGUCUAAGGGUUCUGGCUUGUCUCAAACAGCUGUAAGGUCUGAAGGAAGACGUAGCAGAUCAGGUAAGAAAGCAAAGAAAAGACAUGGCCGUCAAAAAUCCUUGCACAAAUCAGAUGAUCCUUCUCAAUUUGAAAAAGAAAGUACUUCACAUCGAGAAGAUGGUACUGCUUUGAGUGGUACUGAUCAAGUUUUAAGUUCCAGUUCUCGGUUUGGUUCCCCUGAAGACUCAAGAAGUAGGAAAACACCAAUAGAAUCAAUGCAAGAGUCAACUUGUGACCAGUUUUUAAGACCAAGCAAUGUGCUUCGUGGAAAGUCUGGUGAACUGCUGAAAGAUGGGUGUGUUAUUGCUUUAUAUGCAAGAGAUUACCUUGAACUCUAUGUCGCAAGGCAGAGAGUUAAAGGCGGUGGUUGGUUCCUGGAUGCCAUGUCAAAUGUAACCAAAAGAGAUCCCGCAGCACAGUUCCUUCUUGUUUUUAGAAGCAAGGACACCAUUGGAUUGCGCUCUUUUGCUGCUGGUGGAAAGUUAUUGCAGAUUAACAGAAGAAUGGAAUUUGUAUUUGGUAGUCACAGCUUUGAUGUUUGGGAGAGUUGGAUGUUGGAAGGUUCAUUGGAGGAAUGUAGGCUGGUUAACUGUAGAAAUCCUUUGGCUAUUUUGGAUGUACGCGUUGAGAUUCUGGCAGUGGUAGGAGAAGAUGGAGUUACUCGUUGGCUUGAUUAGGCUGUGAAGCAAGAGUGAAGAUAUCUAACCCUUUUUCCUGCCAAAUUUUGUUAUUCUUCUGAGUGUUCGAAAGGAUUAUUGGAUUUCCCUUGAGUCGCUGAAGUUCCAUUGGAGUCUGUUGGUUUUAAAGGUAAAAUUGUGAUGUCGCGACUUGAUCUCUAUCAUGCCUCUUUGGUGUUGAUCUCUGGCUGUAACAGACAAGCCUCUCUAAUUGUAAAUCACAAAGGCAUGUGCACUCUUACGGCGCCCAAUUGCUGCAAAUUUUUUGGGAAAAAAAAGUCUAAAAUAGUUGGUGAUUGGAGGAUUUGGGGGUUUUACUGGUAAUAUAUUUGGCUGGAGGAAGAAUUGUAAUGCAUAGCCGGGGGAACGUCAAGCUUGCUGGCCAUGGGCUUCGCCAAUUCUUUCAGUAAAUCAGAAGGAUCGGCAUGUUUGGAAUUUUAGGGGAGAAGCUUGUAGGCAUGGGCAAAAGGUCCAAGAGGUCUAAACCCUAAUUCUAGGGUGCGGGAAGGUCCCAUAUCAUGAAAAUUCACAUGGUUCAUGGCCACAGCUUCCUUACGGAAGAGGUAAACCAUGGGGCAGGGCAGACGUUCUUGUACUUUUAUGAUUCACGGGAGCCCAAAUAUAUUGCGUUCGAUUUGUAUCGGUUAACUGAAGUUUGAUUGACGGGUUGAUUUCAAUUUUGAUUCUGAUAAAUUUAUUCUUUGAAAA